AGCGAACGCUGGCGGCAGGCCUAACACAUGCAAGUCGAACGGAUCCUUCGGGAUUAGUGGCGGACGGGUGAGUAACACGUGGGAACGUGCCCUUUGGUUCGGAACAACUCAGGGAAACUUGAGCUAAUACCGGAUGUGCCCUUCGGGGGAAAGAUUUAUCGCCAUUGGAGCGGGCCGCGUCUGAUUAGCUAGUUGGUGAGGUAAAGGCUCACCAAGGCGACGAUCAGUAGCUGGUCUGAGAGGAUGAUCAGCCACAUUGGGACUGAGACACGGCCCAAACUCCUACGGGAGGCAGCAGUGGGGAAUCUUGCGCAAUGGGCGAAAGCCUGACGCAGCCAUGCCGCGUGAAUGAUGAAGGUCUUAGGAUUGUAAAAUUCUUUCACCGGGGACGAUAAUGAUGGUACCCGGAGAAGAAGCCCCGGCUAACUUCGUGCCAGCAGCCGCAGUAA
rnacentral:rRNA from 1 species